GACGAACGCUGGCGGCGUGCUUAACACAUGCAAGUCGAACGGAAAGGCCCCCUUGUGGGGUACUCGAGUGGCGAACGGGUGAGUAACACGUGAGUAACCUACCCUUGACUUUGGGAUAACUUCAGGAAACUGGGGCUAAUACCGGAUAGGAGCUCCUGCUGCAUGGUGGGGGUUGGAAAGUUUCGGCGGUUGGGGAUGGACUCGCGGCUUAUCAGCUUGUUGGUGGGGUAGUGGCUCACCAAGGCUUUGACGGGUAGCCGGCCUGAGAGGGUGACCGGCCACAUUGGGACUGAGAUACGGCCCAGACUCCUACGGGAGGCAGCAGUGGGGAAUAUUGCACAAUGGGCGGAAGCCUGAUGCAGCAACGCCGCGUGCGGGAUGACGGCCUUCGGGUUGUAAACCGCUUUCGCCUGUGACGAAGCGUGAGUGACGGUAAAGGGUAAAGAAGCACCGGCUAACUACGUG
rnacentral:rRNA from 1 species